rnacentral:rRNA from 12 species
GAAUAGAAACAGAUGCCAGGCCAAUAACUCAA